AUUGAACGCUGGCGGCAUGCCUUACACAUGCAAGUCGAACGGCAGCACGGGUGCUUGCACCUGGUGGCGAGUGGCGAACGGGUGAGUAAUACAUCGGAACGUACCUUAUCGUGGGGGAUAACGCAGCGAAAGCUGUGCUAAUACCGCAUACGCCCUGAGGGGGAAAGCGGGGGAUCGCAAGACCUCGCGCGAUUAGAGCGGCCGAUGCCUGAUUAGCUUGUUGGUGGGGUAAAAGCCCACCAAGGCGACGAUCAGUAGCUGGUCUGAGAGGACGAUCAGCCACACUGGGACUGAGACACGGCCCAGUCUCCCACGGGAGGCAGCAGUGGGGAAUUUUGGACAAUGGGGGCAACCCUGAUCCAGCAAUGCCGCGUGAGUGAAGAAGGCCUUCGGGUUGUAAAGCUCUUUUGUCAGGGAAGAAACACCGGCUCUAACACAGUCCGGGAAUGACGGUACCUGAAGAAUAAGCACCGGCUAACUACGUGCCAGCCGCCGCGGUAA
rnacentral:rRNA from 1 species